UACGUAGGGGGCAAGCGUUGUCCGGAUUUAUUGGGCGUAAAGAGCGUGUAGGCGGUUUGGUAGGUCCGCUGUGAAAACUCGAGGCUCAACCUCGAGCUGUCGGUGGAAACUUUCUGGCUAGAGUCCGGAAGAGGAGAAUGGAAUUCCUGGUGUAGCGGUGAAAUGCGCAGAUAUCAGGAGGAACACCGGUGGCGAAGGCGGGGUCUCUGGGCCGAAACUGACGC
rnacentral:rRNA from 1 species